rnacentral:rRNA from 1 species
AACGAACGCUGGCGGCAUGCCUAACACAUGCAAGUCGAACGAGACCUUCGGGUCUAGUGGCGCACGGGUGCGUAACGCGUGGGAACCUGCCCUUAGGUUCGGAAUAACUCCCCGAAAGGGGUGCUAAUACCGGAUAAUGUCUUCGGACCAAAGAUUUAUCGCCUUUGGAUGGGCCCGCGUUGGAUUAGCUAGUUGGUAGGGUAAAAGCCUACCAAGGCGACGAUCCAUAGCUGGUCUGAGAGGAUGAUCAGCCACACUGGGACUGAGACACGGCCCAGACUCCUACGGGAGGGAGGAGGUGGGGAUAUUUGACAAUGGGGCGAAGGCCUGACCAGCCAAUGCGGGGUAAUUGUGGAAGGCUUAGGGUUGUAAAGCUCUUUUACCCGGGAUGAUAAUGACAGUACCGGGAGAAUAAGCUCCGGCUAACUCCGUG